UGGGCCGGGCCGGAGGCCGAAGCCGCCCGCCCCGCGUCCCCCGCGCAUUCCAGUCGCGCCACCGCCCGGCCACGGCGCGGACGCGGCUGGGGACAGAUGGGGACACGGUGGGACAGACGACGCGGCAGGCCCGGGCCAACCAGCCACAGGGUCCCCCCAAAAGGAGAGUGGACGCCCUGCUAAGAAGUGGGACGGGCCGGCGGUGGGAAAGGGUCCCCUCGGAAAGAGCGUCCCCGCGUGAGCUGGGGCCCUUGGUGAGCCGGAGAGAUUUCGAAGUGGACCCGGGGAAGCUGCCCCCGUGGAGAACCGGGAUUCACGGCCGCCUGCCCCUCAGGCUGCUCCUAAUUGGGAGGUCAGCACACCGGCACCUCCUUUGAGCCUGAUUAUACUCCUAACCCUCCAAGUUCAAUGUCAGCAGAUCCCGGUCUGACAUGUGCCGUUUGUUUGCAUCUUCAGUGCCAGGCGGGGGUCUUUCCCAGGUGCCUCCCCAGAGCCAGCCGUCCACGUUCUGCACAGCCAGGCAUCCUCUCAGGGGACAGCUCUGGAGCACUCGCAUCUUUUCUUUAAGGAGCACAAAGACCUCGAGGUUGCUUUCUUUCUGUUUUGCAUCACUUCCCUGACUAAUACAGACACACUGUAUUUGCAUAACAUAGUUUUGGUCCGCAUGGGACCCGAGCUCCAGCUUCCUGAAUAUGCAUUUUAUUCUGUGCGAUGUCUGAACGUUGCAGCUCUAAUCUCAUCACCAGCCUGUGUACUUCCACUGAGUUAUUCUCCAGGCUUUAGAACCGCACCUCCAAUUUGUAAGCUGAGCUAACGAUUACAUUUUCAUCUCUGAAAGAUGUUAAAUGAAAGCAUGCUUUGUGGGGAGAAUAAAUUGAAGAUCUCAGCAUGAGUGGCCCCCGACCCCCAGCCCAACGUCUCUGCUUGCUCAGUGGAGGCUGGAGCAUAAACUCCCCUUUCUCUCGAACAUUCAUCUUCACCCAGAGAACCUUGCGGGAACUACGCUCUUAAUACAGCACUGUUUGGCCCCCUUCACUGAGAUGCUUUCAUUUGAUCUGCCCAGAGAAUAACCAUUUCGCAGCCUUGGAGACAGAGUUCAGUGAUUGAAGCACCAGCCGAUGGAAACGGCGUGGGACCCCAGAUAGCUGGGAUCGAUGAAGAAACUGUCCAUCCCUAAAAGAACAGGACAACAGACAGGCUGCAGUUGCAAAAACUACAAUCAGAAUUUCGCUGAGACAAUGGUCUGGAUAUCCUGAACUGACAUCCUGUAAGAAUUUCAAUGUAUUGAACGUAACUGGUAAAAUUUUGGAAGCUUAUGUGAGGAAUGAUUGUUAUUUUCUUCAUAAACUUGGAUUUAAAUGUCCGUAUUCCAAAUGCUUUGUUGAUUUAACCAAUGGCCCAUUGCGGGCAUGAAUUACACAGUGUAAAACUAAGAUGAAAAAUCACGUAAAUGCUGUCAGGAGAGGCAGCGCGGCCUGCUGUUCUCAGCGAACCGGGUGAUAAAGUCCCAUCCCUCCUCCACGGCCGCCACGGGGCCUCCCUCCUGAGUUCUCAGAGCUGCAAGCUGUCCAGUAGUAAAGGGGAAAUCUCUGAAUAGCUAUUUUGUUCAUUUAUGAUUUUAAAACGAAAGUAGCAGCAGGUGCUGUCAGCACCUUCAUGACUUGACCCUCUGGAACAGGUUCAGAGACGCUCCUGGGGACCCGGGAAGGGGUCGGGAGGCUCUGCGGCUCCUGGUACCUCAGCGAGGUUCUCAGUCCCAACCGCCCAUCAGAGUCAUCGGGGCAACUUUUAAAAGAUGGGUGCCCAGGCCCAGCGCAGCCCAUUAACCAGACUCUUUGGUGGAAGCUUCCAGUGUCAGGACCAGUCUCCGCAGGUGAUUCCAAUGUGUGGCUGUGAGCCAGCAGCCCAAGGGGAUGAAUCGGACACUGUGACAGGCUUAGCGGUGGAAGGAGUUUGGGGGCAAUUAGGCCUAAGGCCUGAAACCCCAUCAGGAUCCUGGCCUUCUCCCCGAUGCUCCGUGUCUUCAAGGAGUCCACAGCGCCUUGAGGAAAGCACACACACCCAAAAAAGCAUUCUGCCUGAAGGAUUUUGAAACUUGCCUGCAAGUCACUGUUAAAGAUGACACCUUUGCACAUGCAGGUUUUGGAGGCCACGCCCACAUCACUGAGCACGCUGUCACCACCACCCCCGCCAGUACAGGGUGCUCCCCAGGUCCCGCUUGAGGACAGUGUCUUGUAGGAGAUGCCAGCUCCACCCACACACGUUCCCGAGCGCUGGCUCUGUGCCCGGCCUCACACUGACCCCUGACAACAUGCAGAUGAAGCUGUGGCCCUGCCCCAAGAACCUCCAUCCAGUCGGGGACAGAUGAGCAGAUCAGGGGUUACAGCCACUGUGCUGAGAGCCGAGACGGGGGUGCCGGCAGCAUCCUCACCGCUGCCACCGUCCCAAAGGUGACAUGGGUGGGGAGCCAGCAUUUGAGCAAUUUCACCUUCUUUGUACAUUCAGAUAUAUUAUAU